CUCAGGAUGAACGCUGGCGGCGUGCCUAAUACAUGCAAGUCGAGCGAACGGACGAGAAGCUUGCUUCUCUGAUGUUAGCGGCGGACGGGUGAGUAACACGUGGAUAACCUACCUAUAAGACUGGGAUAACUUCGGGAAACCGGAGCUAAUACCGGAUAAUAUUUUGAACCGCAUGGUUCAAAAGUGAAAGACGGUCUUGCUGUCACUUAUAGAUGGAUCCGCGCUGCAUUAGCUAGUUGGUAAGGUAACGGCUUACCAAGGCAACGAUGCAUAGCCGACCUGAGAGGGUGAUCGGCCACACUGGAACUGAGACACGGUCCAGACUCCUACGGGAGGCAGCAGUAGGGAAUCUUCCGCAAUGGGCGAAAGCCUGACGGAGCAACGCCGCGUGAGUGAUGAAGGUCUUCGGAUCGUAAAACUCUGUUAUUAGGGAAGAACAUAUGUGUAAGUAACUGUGCACAUCUUGACGGUACCUAAUCAGAAAGCCACGGCUAACUACGUGCCAGCAGCCGCGGUAAUACGUAGGUGGCAAGCGUUAUCCGGAAUUAUUGGGCGUAAAGCGCGCGUAGGCGGUUUUUUAAGUCUGAUGUGAAAGCCCACGGCUCAACCGUGGAGGGUCAUUGGAAACUGGAAAACUUGAGUGCAGAAGAGGAAAGUGGAAUUCCAUGUGUAGCGGUGAAAUGCGCAGAGAUAUGGAGGAACACCAGUGGCGAAGGCGACUUUCUGGUCUGUAACUGACGCUGA
rnacentral:rRNA from 1 species